CAGAUGUCGAUCCUGGUGGAGGAAAUCAAGCAUCCCAAAAGCUGCUACAGGAUCUUGCUGUUCUUCGGGAACAAAACCUACUUCCGGAAAAAAGUGGUUACCAAGGAAUAUCUCGUUAACAUUACUGAAUUCAGAGCCCCUCAUUCCUCUCCAGUUCAGUGGUAUCAGGAUUAUGAGCAUGAGGCCCACAGCCACGCACACCAGAACAGCAGUCUUAACUUCUUCAACUGGUUUUCUGACCACAA